GACGAACGCUGGCGGCGUGCUUAACACAUGCAAGUCGAACGGAAAGGCCCUGCUUGCAGGGUGCUCGAGUGGCGAACGGGUGAGUAACACGUGGGUGAUCUGCCCCUUACUUUGGGAUAAGCCUGGGAAACUGGGUCUAAUACUGGAUAGGACCAUGCUGUAGGUGGUGUGGUGGAAAGAUUAGUUUCGGUAAGGGAUGAGCUCGCGGCCUAUCAGCUUGUUGGUGGGGUAAUGGCCUACCAAGGCGUCGACGGGUAGCCGGCCUGAGAGGGUGGACGGCGACAUUGGGACUGAGAUACGGCCCAGACUCCUACGGGAGGCAGCAGUGGGGAAGAUUGCACAAUGGGCGCAAGCCUGAUGCAGCGACGCCGCGUGGGGGAUGACGGCCUUCGGGUUGUAAACUCCUUUCAGCCAUGACGAAGCCCUUGUGGUGACGGUAGUGGUAGAAGAAGCACCGGCUAACUACGUG
rnacentral:rRNA from 1 species